AACGAACGCUGGCGGCAGGCCUAACACAUGCAAGUCGAACGCCCCGCAAGGGGAGUGGCAGACGGGUGAGUAACGCGUGGGAACCUUCCCAAAGGUGCGGAAUAGCUCAGGGAAACUUGGGGUAAUACCGCAUAAUGCCGAGAGGCCAAAGAUUUAUCGCCUUUGGAUGGGCCCGCGUCGGAUUAGCUAGUUGGUGAGGUAACGGCUCACCAAGGCGACGAUCCGUAGCUGGUUUGAGAGAAUGACCAGCCACACCGGGACUGAGACACGGCCCAGCCUCCUACGGGAGGCAGCAGUGGGGAAUCUUGGACAAUGGGCGCAAGCCUGAUCCAGCCAUGCCGCGUGAGUGACGAAGGCCUUAGGGUUGUAAAGCUCUUUUGCCGGGGACGAUAAUGACGGUACCCGGAGAAUAAGUCCCGACUAACUUCGUGCCAGCCGCCGCAGUAA
rnacentral:rRNA from 1 species